GGAACAAGCGAUGAACACUGGAAGAAGGACUAUAAAAGAAGAUGUAAACAGGGGAAGUUACAAUGGUUUUCGAUUCUUACAAACACUUGUCUGUAACUGGAAAUUACAUUGUCCCGUCAUUAUGGCGAAACUGCCGACCUUUAAAUAAACAGAUACAGCCAGGUUGGUCACAGAGAACGCACGGAAUAGGGCAAGAACUUUGUGUUGUAAAUGCAAGAUCAAUCGAAGCAAUAUCGUAUUCAUACCAUGUGGUCAUUUAGUCGUUUGCAACCAGUGUAUUUCCAACACAACAGUGUGUCCAGUGUACGGGAAAAAGGUCGAUGUAGCUCACCGUGUUAGCGAUUAAUCCAUUUCAGUGCUAAUGCUUAGUGCCAGGUUGGAUGAUAAAGUGUUAACCGACCAAUCCGACAGUUGUUUCCCAUUCUAUAUGCAGAGCAUAUAUCAUAUUCCGGCACAAAAGUGAAAUAUUAAGUAAAGUGAAAACUCGAUGAGUUGAUUUCAUUGACAAGCAAUAUCUGCCAAUAUCAUAGUAGUGAAAAUGAUCAUAAUAAUGAAAGUGCUCUUACUUUAAUACAAUACUUACAAAAAUGUGUAAAAUGAUCACUGUUAUUGGGCAUAAAAUCAAAUAAUUGUGUUUUAUCUAUACCCUUAGUUGUUUCGAAAUGAAAAUUGUUUAUAGUUCGCCAAGUGUCGGCAUAUAAAGUUUAUAUUUUAGAAAAAAUUGCAUUAAGUCUCGUGUUCAGUCUAAGGGAGGUAAUUUCCAAAAUGUUUUUUAUUUAUACCCUUAGUUGUUUUAAAAUGAAACUUGUUUAUACUGCUCUUAGUGUCGGCAUAUGAAGUUAAUAUUGUAUAAAAAUAUGUUUUAAGUCUCGUGUUCAGUCUAAGGGAUAUAAUUUCCAAAAUGUUCAAUUCAUUUAAAUUCAGGAACAAUGGCAGAUUUUGAUAUUGUUUCCAAUUGGAGUAAACUUUUAAUUCUUUUUUUUUUGUGGUAAAGAAAUGUUUUCUGAAAGGGUCAUAUAUAUGACUAAUUUAUCGUAACAUAGUAAUUUGUCCUAACAUAGUCAAUGUUUAGAUAUUUAGAUAUAUGAUGAUAUUCAAUGCAUCUUUAAUUUUAGGAUCUGUUCUGUGAUAUACUUAUAUCCUACAAACUGAUGCAUGUGACCAAGCGAUUGCUUUUUCAUUUUGUUAUACAUACACAUAGAUAUAAGGUUUUCUACUUUCUAUCUGUUUAACCUGGUACUAUUUUUAAAUAAAACAAUAUAUCUAAUUGGGGUCUUUAUCAACGAAAGUAAGACAUAGGCAUUAAAUUGUAUUCUCGAAAAGUAUUGGUACUUACAUAUAGUCUUAUGCUUAAAAUCAUUAGUACAUUGUAUUUAAAUUCUCCUGCAACAAUAACGCAUUAAAAUGUUGAUUUUAGGGUAAGUGUGAGUUGACUGGUCAUGAACCAGUUUAAACGCCCAAGUUACCUCAUUUUCCAGGUAACCGACCGUUUCAAGGCGGUGUCUCUAACUUCAACCUAUGAUUUGUUAAGAUCUGACUGCAUUGUUUAAUUUAUUGAUUUUAGGUUGUGGAUACAUAGCAUUAUAUCAUGUCAAUAAAAUAGAUGUAGUACUCGGGUAUUUUUCGUUCGCUGUCUGAAGAUCGGCUUAUGUAAGCUUGUCGUGUUUAAUCCAUUUUAUACAAUGUCCUAUGCAUUUAUUGCAAAAGCCCUUUAAAACGACAUUGCGCAAUUUUGCAAGAAUAAUAGAUGUUCAUACUUUACAUGAGAUUCAACUGAACAAGGCAAAUAGACAUGUGUGCAUGUUUUUCUUCUGUACUUUCAUAUUAUAUCUAUAGGGACUUUAGUAUAAGAUAUGAACGCUUUACAAAGAGAGGUUGUUUUGGGUUGUGUAAAACUAUUUUCAAAAAAGAAAAUGAAUAUCUGUAAUUUGUAAAUUUCAUACAAUUUUAAAGUUGGUAAUAGUUAAAAGAAAUUGGUAUUUUUUUAGUUAAACUUACUUAAUGAAUAAUUUUCAAACAUGUUCAGUUAUUUUGGAGUAAUUAUUAAAUGGAUGUUCAAAAACUAAAGACAACAGGAGGAUGGCGAAAUCGUUUCAAUGCGUGCAAAUAUACAUAAUUAAUGAAACGCUUUUGUAUAUUUACUGUAGUUUUCCCCGAGUUGUACUAUUGAACUUGUAUCAUAAUGUUUGUAAAUAGAUGAAAAUGUUGACAUUUGAAAUUUGUCUUUUUUCGUUGUAUUUUUAACUUAGUAUGUUUAUGUCUCAGUGUCUUGGUAACUUGAGUCAGAAUUCAAGCCUGGAAAUCACACUAAUUUGAUAUAAGACUGUUGCAAAUGUAGUUCUCUUUUACAUCUACGAUUAAGAAUAGGAUAAGCAGCAUUUAGUAUGAUUACCGAUAUGCAAUAUGUUCAAUGUACUGAAGUGUAGAUAAUGCUUUGAAACCAAGACUCAAGAUAUGUAUACCAUUUUGGUCAUUGUUGUAUGUAAAUAUAUCCUUAGCAUGUUUAGUAUGAGUGGUAUUGCUUAUAGUGUAUUUUGUUUUAUUCUUAUUAUGAGACUGUUUGAAGGGGACAUCUACAGAUAAGAAGUAAUCAAUCAAGACAAACUCUCAGUAAUAUGUAGAUCUUAAUCAAUUUUGAUUUAUGAUUUUAUAUUUUAGGCACUGCUAUCUAUUUGGAAGAUUGUUUUUGUUUCGUGAUUUGCAUCUGAAGUAAUGCCACUUUCAGAAUAGAUUAUAAGGACUUUUUUCAGUUUAUGUACAAUAUAGAAGUAUUUCUUAUAUAAAAAGUCAGGUUAUUUUGGUUCCAUAUUACUAUAAAGUCUAAUUCAUUCACCUUUUACUAGCAAAUAUUAAUUAAUUUAUACAGAAGUAAAACUGCAUCUAACUCGUUUUCAAACGAACAACUAGAACAGAUAAUAUUAAAUAGCGCCUAUCGAACUGAAUCAGUUUUUUAUAAUAUUGAUUUCUUUUAUAUUGGGCUUUGUUGAAUGUUUAUUUUUUUAUGACAAGAAUAUAUGAAACUUUAGCAAUUAAUUGAUUUAAGUAAAUUGCAAAUGCAUAUAGACAUUUAACUUUACAUAUCUCACAAGAACAUUAUUAUCCAUUAUUAUCCAUCAAAAUCUAUAUUUAACUUUUAACCUGCUGGCGGCAAGUGAUUUUGCCUUUGCGGCCGAGCAGACCAGGUGCAGGCUGAUCAUGGUCUGCACUGUUUGCUAUUCAGCCAGUUAAUUUUCAGGGAACACACCUAUGAAUCAUAAGUGGAACUGCCCAGAUUGAAUGAUGGAAUGGACCUGUCCAUAUUAGAAAUUUAGCAGAGUAAAUGUUAAUAUAAACGUUAAAUGUUUUUGGAAUGACAUCUUACUCAAAAUAGUUGCUUGAGUUUCAUUUAUAUGUUCGCAUUCAUUGUAUUAAACAUCAUUUUAUAAAAUAAAGAUAAACUGUACAAAUUCUGAAAUUUAUUUUGAUUGCAAUGUUAAUAGGAACAUAAAUCAAAUAAAGUUUAUACCAACGAAUGCACUUGAAAGACGGCAUUCACUAGCGUACAUGAAUGAAAUACAAAAGGUUGUCUAAUUGCCAUUUUCAGAGGGAUCUAUGAGUGAUAUCCUCUUAAUAAUUCGAUAUAGAACUCAUUCAGUUAAAGAAGUAAGUAAUAUGAAUUGUACAGCAUCUAAAAGUCUAAUAUUUCGGCCACGUCCAUUUAUUAGUAUUUAUAUAUUAGAUUGUUCGGACUGUUUAAAAAAGAUGAAAAAAUUACCUUUAAAAUUAAUGGUUGCCUGUUUCAGUCAUUCUUCUCGUGUUUGCCAUCAUUUUUCUUAGUUGAUAACAGUAAAUUUCAACCAUCUCUGUAUGGAAAAAUAUGUUUUACAAAUUUAAGAAAAAUGUAAUUUUGUUAUCUUUUACUCUAAUGACAUGCUGUGGUUCAUUUCAUUUUGCAAAUAAAAUUUUGUUCUUAGA